rnacentral:rRNA from 1 species
GAGUUUGAUCCUGGCUCAGAUUGAACGCUAGCGGCAUGCCUUACACAUGCAAGUCGAACGGCAGCGGGCUCUUCGGAGUGCCGGCGAGUGGCGAACGGGUGAGUAAUACAUCGGAACAUACCCUAUAGUGGGGGAUAGCUCGGCGAAAGCCGAAUUAAUACCGCAUACGACCUACGGGUGAAAGGGGGGGAUCGUAAGACCUCUCGCUAUUGGAGUGGCCGAUGGCUGAUUAGCUUGUUGGUGGGGUAAAGGCCUACCAAGGCUACGAUCAGUAGCUGGUCUGAGAGGACGACCAGCCACACUGGGACUGAGACACGGCCCAGACUCCUACGGGAGGCAGCAGUGGGGAAUCUUGGACAAUGGGCGAAAGCCUGAUCCAGCAAUGCCGCGUGUGCGAAGAAGGCCUUCGGGUUGUAAAGCACUUUUGUCAGGGAAGAAAUUGCUUAAGUUAAUACCUUGAGUCGUUGACGGUACCUGAAGAAUAAGCACCGGCUAACUAC